rnacentral:rRNA from 1 species
UACGAAGGACCCGAGCGUUAUCCGGAUUUAUUGGGAUUAAAGGGUGCGUAGGCGGAUUUAUAAGUCAGUGGUGAAAUCUCCCCGCUCAACGGGGAAACUGCCAUUGAAACUAUUUAUCUUGAGUACAUUUGAGGCGGGCGGAAUGUGUCAUGUAGAGGUGAAAUUCUUAGAUAUGACACAGAACACCAAGUGCGAAGGCAGCUCGCUAAACUGUAACUGACGCUGAGGCACGAAAGCGUGGGGAUCAAACAGG